rnacentral:lncRNA from 1 species
GGAGACUUAUGCUUGUAAACGGGUGGUGGUGGGGAUUUGUACAUUGGUGGAGGUGGUGGUGGAGACUUGUACUUGUAAACGGGUGGUGGUGGGGACUUGUACUUGUAAAUAGGUGGCGGUGGGGAUUUAUGGACUGGUGGAGGUGGUGGUGGGGACUUGUACUUGUAAACGGGUGGUGGUGGGGAUUUAUAAACUGGUGGAGGUGGUGGUGGAGACUUGUACUUAUAAACGGGUGGUGGUGGGGACUUAUACUUGUAAACGGGUGGCGGUGGGGAUUUAUAAACUGGUGGAGGUGGUGGUGGAGACUUGUACUUGUAAACGGGUGGUGGUGGGGACUUGUACUUGUAAACAGGUGGCGGUGGGGAUUUAUAGACUGGUGGAGGUGGUGGUGGAGACUUGUACUUAUAAACAGGUGGUGGUGGAGACUUA